GACGAACGCUGGCGGCGUGCUUAACACAUGCAAGUCGAACGGGAGUAUCGAAGAAGCUUGCUUUUAAGAUACUUUAGUGGCGGACGGGUGAGUAACGCGUGAGGAGCUGUCCUAUGCAGGGGGACAACAGUUGGAAACGACUGCUAAUACCCCAUAAGCCGAGAGGUAAAAGGAGCGAUCCGGCAGAGGAGGUACUCGCGUCCUAUCAGCUAGUAGGUGAGGUAACGGCUCACCUAGGCGAAGACGGGUAGCCGGCCUGAGAGGGCGAACGGCCACACUGGAACUGAGAUACGGUCCAGACUCCUACGGGAGGCAGCAGUGGGGAAUAUUGGGCAAUGGGGGCAACCCUGACCCAGCGACGCCGCGUGGGUGAAGAAAUCCUUCGGGAUGUAAAGCCCUGUUGUAUGGGAAGAGCAGAAGACGGUACCAUACGAGGAAGCCCCGGCAAACUACGUGCCAGCCGCCGCCGUAACAC
rnacentral:rRNA from 1 species